CCAGUUUUAUUUAUUGGAUUUUUUAUUUGGAUUUAUGGCACUGAGGGUAUAGGUGAACAGUGAAGCGGUUUGUAUGGGCUCAUGUAACUUAAACAUGUAGUGAGAAGCGAGGAUUUUGUUUUAGUGUUUAUGAUAAUCUGAAGGAAUAUGUAGAUACUAUGAUUUGAGGUUGCUUUCUUAAACCAUGAUAAAGCAGUCCAAUAAUUUUAACAUAGAUAUAAUUUUUUAUGCAAUGCAUGAGUAUAUGAAAUGUUAAGACGAUAAUAUAUCAUGUGAUUUAAAAUUCAAAGAGAGACAAUGAACCAUGUUUGAUAUUUUGUUUGUCUUGUUUCGUUUAAAUUUGGGCGUUUUUCAGUUGGAUUCAUGGGUUUUGUUUAAGAUAUCAUUUUUGGUUUAGCCAACGCAAAAGUUUACAUCUUUUCUAUGUUGGAUUCAUGGGGUUUUCUUAAGCUUUCAAGUUUUCAGUUUUUGUCAAGAAAUUUAAUCUAGAGUUUAAGAGUUGCCAGGAUUGGAUGAAAAUUUGCUGAGUGUUGGACAAAUGAUGCAGCAUGGAUAUUUCCUUCUAUUUGGAUUGAUGAGGUUGCUCUAUUUGAAGAUAAGAUGCUGGAAAAUCAUGUGGUUACAGUACAAAUGACUGGGAAUAGAUGUUUCCCUCUCAUAAUGGAAGAUAAGAAAUUCAAUGUGUUGAAAGCUGCUUUGGAAGACGGUGCUUAAGAUUGGCACAUAAGACUUGGACAAUUGAAUUUUCAAAGCCUGUAGUUACCUGUUAGUCGGGAAAUGGUACUAUGAAUGCCAAAGUUGAAGCAAACACAAACAGUAUGUGAAGGUUGUGCGGUGGGAACGCAUCACAGAGAAGCCUGUAGCAGGGAGAUAAUGUGGAGAGCAAGUCAUCCACUAGAGUUGAUACACUCUGAUAUUUGUGCAGGUUACAACAUCGGGUGGAAACAAGUAUUGCUUGACUUUCAUAGAUGAUUGUACAAGAAGGUAUUGGUUGUAUCUUCUGAAGCACAAGUCUAAAGUGUUCACUGUGUUUAAACAUUUCAAAGCCAUGGUUAAGCUACAAUGUGGAUACCAGAUCAAAAGAUUGAGGAGUGACAACGGUGCAAUAUCUAUUUACUAGACAUCCUUUGGGAUUCUUCCAUAUUAGAACAAGGAUUCUAUUCUAAAAAGGCCCCCUCUCCCACGGUUGUUCCAGACUACAUGAAUUCGUGCUCGACCGCCUCUUACGGCUCCAAACUAAUUAAUAAGUUUAAGGGGGAUAUGAUGAAGAAGUAUGAGAUGACUGAUCUUGGCUUGCUUUAUCAUUUUCUUGGUAUGUGAAUAGUUCAAACAGAGCAAAAGUAUCUUUAUCAAUCAAAAGAAGUACACUCUUGCACUUUUAGACAAAUUUAGUUUUGAAGAUUGCAAGCCUCUCACUAUAACACUUGCAGUGAAUACGAAGUUGAAAGGAGAAGAUGGUGGUGCUCUUGUAGAUAAAGCUCUUUAUAGGUAGAUUGUUGGUAGUCUGUUAUAGUUGAUAGCUACAAGGCCUAACAUUGUGUUUGAUGCGAUCUUACUCUCAAAAUUCAUGCACAGUCCUUCAAAGAAACACUUUGGUAUUGCAAAAUGGGUGCUAAGAUACAUACAAGGAACCUUGGAUUAUGCCAUUGAAUAUUUGAAAUCCAAGGAAGCAAUAUUAUGCUAAUAGGCUAUUGUGGCUGUGAUUGGAGUAGGGAUGAAAAUGAUUUGAAAAGUACUCCUGGAUAUGCAUUUUCAUUUGGCAGUGGAAUCUGCUCAUGGGCUUCAUCGAAACAACACAGUGUAGUAUUGUCUACUGCAGGUGCUGAGUAUGUUAGUGCCUCUGAAGCUAUUACUCAAGAGAUUUGGCUUUGAUUUAUAAUGGAAGACUUUGCUGAAUUACAAACUUAGGCUACUUGAUUGCAUUGUGACAACACAUCUGCCAUUGUCAUGACAAAAACCAUGUGUUUCAUGAAAGAUCCAAGCACAUAAAUAGCAGAAACAUGCUAGGGAUCAAAUCAGCAACAAUCUUAGAAGUGAGUGUUAAUGAUUAAGCAUUGGUGUUGAUUCCUUAGACUGCAAGCUUAGAAGGUAUGGACUGCACAGAGAGAAGGAGGGGGAGAGAGCGCGGAGAGAGGAAGAUGACGGAAGGGUGGGUCUUUUGAACAGAGACCUUGCAGACAAAGGGUGAGGGAGGGAUGGGACUGAUCUUAACGAAAUUACAGAAAACAAGCCACCCUAAUUCAAGUUCUCUAUCUUCAGAUCACCAGCAAUAACCUCAUCAAGGUCCUAGGAGGAAUCACGAGGAUUCACAGCCGAAUUGGUAUGUACUUAUGCUUUUGCAAAAAGCCCUUUUCUUGCCA
rnacentral:sRNA from 1 species